rnacentral:rRNA from 1 species
UAGGAUAGAGGCCUACCAUGGUGGUAACGGGUAACGGGGUGUUAGGGCACGACACCGGAGAGGGAGCCUGAGAAACGGCUACCACAUCCAAGGAUGGCAGCAGGCGCGCAAAUUACCCAAUCCCGACACGGGGAGGUAGUGGCAAUAAAUAACAAUACGGGGUUCUUUCGGAUCUCGUAAUUGGAAUGAGUACAAUUUAAAUCUCUUAACGAGGAACAAUUGGAGGGCAAGUCUGGUGCCAGCAGCCGCGGUAAUUCCAGCUCCAAUAGCGUAUAUUAAAAUUGUUGCAGUUAAAAAGCUCGUAGUUGAAUUUCGGGGUUAGUAGGUUGGUCAUGCCUCUGGUAUGUACUGGUCUCACUGAUUCCUCCUUCCUGAUGAACCGUAAUGCCAUUAAUUUGGUGUUGCGGGGAAUUUGGACUGUUACUUUGAAAAAAUUAGAGUGUUUAAAGCAAGCUAACGCUUGAAUACAUUAGCAUGGAAUAAUGAAAUAGGACGUUCGAUCCUAUUUUGUUGGUUUCUAGGAUUGACGUAAUGAUUAAUAGGGAUAGUUGGGGGCAUUAGUAUUCAAUUGUCAGAGGUGAAAUUCUUGGAUUUAUUGAAGACUAACUACUGCGAAAGCAUUUGCCAAGGAUGUUUUCAUUAAUCAAGAACGAAAGUUAGGGGAUCGAAGACGAUCAGAUACCGUCGUAGUCUUAACCAUAAACUAUGCCGACUAGGGAUCGGAUGA